GUCGGAGCUUCAACCCAAGGGGGCAUCCCAAGGUGGCAAGAAAUCUCCCUGGGAACGGGAACAUGCCCCAGGGUUUCAGAGAGACGUCGAGGCAGGCUGAGGGGGUACCACAAGGCG